rnacentral:rRNA from 1 species
AUUGAACGCUGGCGGCAUGCUUUACACAUGCAAGUCGAACGGUAACAGGGUGCUUGCACCGCUGACGAGUGGCGAACGGGUGAGUAAUGCGUCGGAACGUGCCGAGUAGUGGGGGAUAACGCAGCGAAAGUUGUGCUAAUACCGCAUACGUACUGAGGUAGAAAGUGGGGGACCUUCGGGCCGCACGCUAUUCGAGCGGCCGGCGUCUGAUUAGCUAGUAGGUGAGGUAAAGGCUCACCUAGGCGACGAUCAGUAGCGGGUCUGAGAGGAUGAUCCGCCACACUGGGACUGAGACACGGCCCAGACUCCUACGGGAGGCAGCAGUGGGGAAUUUUGGACAAUGGGCGAAAGCCUGAUCCAGCCAUGCCGCGUGUCUGAAGAAGGCCUUCGGGUUGUAAAGGACUUUUGUCGGGGAGGAAAUCCCCAGCGUUAAUACCGCUGGGGGAUGACAGUACCUGAAGAAUAAGCACCGGCUAACUACGUGCCAGCCGCCGCCGUAAUAC